rnacentral:lncRNA from 1 species
AUCUUAAUUACCAUGCGGACUGCUUACUGUCUUAUUCUUCAUGCUCAUUAACUGCUUUUCGCCAAUCCCAGGGGGUAAAAGUGAUUUAUAUUUCUCUUUAUGCGUAACUGAGGAAGACCCGGAAACUCCAGGGUCACGUGAGCUGUGGCCAUGUGAGCAUAGGUAAGCACCGCUGCAAGCACCCAGGAGGCUGUGGGGAGGCUGGAGGCAUGCAUCACCACAGGAUCAACUUGACAAAUAUCAUCCAGGUUACUUUGGGAAAGUUGGUAUGAGGCACCAGAGCUCCUGCCCAACUGUCAACCUAGAUAAAUUGUGGACGUUGGUCAGCGAGCAGAUGCGGGUCAAUGUAGCAAAAAAUAAGACUGGAGCUGCUCCCAUCAUUGAUGUUCGAUCAAGUUACUACAAAGUUCUGGGCUCGGAUAGCUCCCCAAGCAACCUGUCAUCGAGAAGGCCAAAUCCUUCAGCAGAAGAGCUGAAAAGAAGAUUAAGGCUGUUGGAGGUGCCUGGGUUCUGGUGCCUUAAAAGCCAUGCUGGAGGUUAAUUAUAUGCUAACAUUUAAAAAAAAAGAAUAUUUUGAUGAGCUGUUGUAACUAUAGCUCUGUAGCCUACUACAAUUCUGCUCUGUGGACUGUAGGAAUUGAAUCUAGGUCUUUGGGCAACAAGCUGUUGAGCUGCUUCGCCACCCCCACUUAUUCCUUUCAUAAGACUCAACUUCAACAGUAAGCUUUCAUGUGCCUAAAUAAAAUGGGCUGCUUAGUGCUAGGUAGAGCCUUGCUUAGCAUGAGUGAUGUCUUGGGUUGCAUCCUCAAUACCACAAAAAUGAAUAGUAGUUAUGAUUAUUUUCUUAAUUCACAGCUUCUCUUUCUAACUCUGUAGAACAGUUUUCUUCUAAUCCAGUUGCUUUGGCAAUCGUGCUUAUGGAAUUUUCGGUUAUCAAAUAUUUAACUUUUCCUGUAGAGUCACACCUGCCAAUAUAUUCUCUCACAGUUCUUUUGAAAAAAGGGUUUAUUUACUUACUUAUUUGCAGGCAUGUGUGCUUUGUGAUGUUAAUACACAUACUGUGGUGUGUAUGUGGAAGUUGGUUCUGUCCUUGCACUAUGUGUGAACCCAGGUUACCAGGUUUGGCAGCAAGCUCCUUUACCAGCUGAGCCAUCUGGGCAGCCCUUCAGGUAGUUUUGAAUUGAUUGUGUUGCUAGAUGCCAAACUUUGGGUUUGGCAGUUAUUUAUUUAGUGGGCUUGAGAUACAUCUUCUGCUUUCGUGAAUUUGAGAGUCACUAAUAAGAGAUUUGGUGUUCUUAUGUUUCUGCCUUUGUAGCAGAUUAUCCUAUCCCCUUCCUGCUCUUGUAGCUCAGUUGACAUGUCCUCUCCUGUCCCCAGCUCCUCAUAUUAUUUCUUUGCUCUGUAUCCCUGAUAUCUUGACUGUAAUGUAUUGUGGAGAAGUUCUUUUCUAGUCAUGUUUAUUUAAGGUUCUAAGUGUAUUUCUAGAAAAAAAAUAGAUAUUCACACAGUAGAAAAUUUGUUACAAUUUCAUUGAAUAAAUCUAUGCCAUUAUUA